rnacentral:rRNA from 1 species
UACGAAGGGGGCUAGCGUUGUUCGGAAUUACUGGGCGUAAAGCGCGCGCAGGCGGCUUUCCAAGUCAGUGGUGAAAGCCCGGAGCUCAACUCCGGAAUUGCCAUUGAAACUGUAAAGCUUGAGUACGAGAGAGGUGAGUGGAAUUCCCAGUGUAGAGGUGAAAUUCGUAGAUAUUGGGAAGAACACCGGUGGCGAAGGCGGCUCACUGGCUCGUUACUGACGCUCAGGCGCGACAGCGUGGGGAUCAAACAGG